CCCUUAGAUGUCCGGGGCCGCACGCGCGCUACACUGAAGGAAUCAGCGUGGCUUUCUCCCUGACCCGAAAGGGUUGGGAAACCCGUUGAAUCUCCUUCGUGAUAGGGAUUGGGGCUUGAAAUUGUUCCCCAUGAACGAGGAAUUCCCAGUAAGCGCGAGUCAUAAGCUCGCGUUGAUUACGUCCCAGCCCUUUGUACACACCGCCCGUCGCUACUACCGAUUGAACGGUUUAGUGAGGGCCUCGGAUUGGUCUCGGCCCGCUCUUUACCGGGCGGCGCCGUUGGUCGAGAAGACGCUCGAACUUGAUCGUUUAGAGGAAGUAAAAGUCGUAAUA
rnacentral:rRNA from 1 species